AAUAUUGGACAAUGGGGGCAACCCUGUUCCCGCCUUGCCGCGUGCGUGAAGAAGGUCUUCGGAUGGUAAAGUACUUUACGUUGGGAGGAAGGUCUUUCGGCUCAUACCCUGAAGUUUUGACGUUACCAACAUAAUAAGCACCGGCUAACUCUGUGCGAGCAGCCGCGGUAAUACAGAGGGUGCAAGCGUUAAUCGGAAUUACUGGGCGUAAAGCGCGCGUAGGUGGUUCAGUAAGAUGGGUGUGAAAUCCCCGGGCUUAACCUGGGAACUGCUUUCAUAACUGCUGAGCUAGAGUACGGUAGAGGGUAGUGGAAUUUCCUGUGUAGCGGUGAAAUGCGUAGAUAGAGGAAGGAACACCAGUGGCGAAGGCGACUACCUGGACUGAUACUGACACUGAGGUGCGAAAGCGUGGGGAGCAAAC
rnacentral:rRNA from 1 species